rnacentral:RNase_P_RNA from 2 species
GACGGCCGCGCGGUAUCAUGCCGAAAGGUCAUACCGUGAGGAAAGUCCGGGCUUCACAGGGCAGGAUAGCUGAUAACGUCAGCCGCAGGCGACUGCCGGGAAAGUGCAACAGAAACAGACCGCCCGCCGACGGCGGGUAAGGGUGGAAAGGCGAGGUAAGAGCUCACCCGUUUCCAUGGUAACAUGGAUCCGCUGUAAACCCUAUCCGAAGCAACACCGCAUGGGGAUCGUUUGCCCGACACAUAUCCCCGGGUGGCACGCGGCGAAAAGCCGCGGAGCGGCGCGGCGACGCGCCGCAAAGACAGAAGGCCGUC